rnacentral:rRNA from 1 species
GAUGAACGCUGGCGGCGUGCCUAAUACAUGCAAGUCGAGCGAACGGACGAGAAGCUUGCUUCUCUGACGUUAGCGGCGGACGGGUGAGUAACACGUGGAUAACCUACCUAUAAGACUGGGAUAACUUCGGGAAACCGGAGCUAAUACCGGAUGAUAUUUUGAACCGCAUGGUUCAAUAGUGAAAGACGGUCUUGCUGUCACUUAUAGAUGGAUCCGCGCUGCAUUAGCUAGUUGGUAAGGUAACGGCUUACCAAGGCAACGAUGCAUAGCCGACCUGAGAGGGUGAUCGGCCACACUGGAACUGAGACACGGUCCAGACUCCUACGGGAGGCAGCAGUAGGGAAUCUUCCGCAAUGGGCGAAAGCCUGACGGAGCAACGCCGCGUGAGUGAUGAAGGUCUUCGGAUCGUAAAACUCUGUUAUUAGGGAAGAACAUAUGUGUAAGUAACUAUGCACGUCUUGACGGUACCUAAUCAGAAAGCCACGGCUAACUACGUG